GACGAACGCUGGCGGCGUGCUUAACACAUGCAAGUCGAACGGAAAGGCCCUGCUUUUGUGGGGUGCUCGAGUGGCGAACGGGUGAGUAACACGUGAGUAACCUGCCCUUGACUUUGGGAUAACUUCAGGAAACUGGGGCUAAUACCGGAUAGGAGCUCCUGCUGCAUGGUGGGGGUGGGAAAGUUUCGGCGGUUGGGGAUGGACUCGCGGCUUAUCAGCUUGUUGGUGGGGUAGUGGCUUACCAAGGCUUUGACGGGUAGCCGGCCUGAGAGGGUGACCGGCCACAUUGGGACUGAGAUACGGCCCAGCCUCCUACGGGAGGCAGCAGUGGGGAAUAUUGCACAAUGGGCGGAAGCCUGAUGCAGCAACGCCGCGUGCGGGAUGACGGCCUUCGGGUUGUAAACCGCUUUCGCCUGUGACGAAGCGUGAGUGACGGUAAUGGGUAAAGAAGCACCGGCUAACUACGUG
rnacentral:rRNA from 1 species